CGCGGCCUAUCAGCUUGUUGGUGGGGUGAUGGCCUACCAAGGCGACGACGGGUAGCCGGCCUGAGAGGGCGACCGGCCACACUGGGACUGAGACACGGCCCAGACUCCUACGGGAGGCAGCAGUGGGGAAUAUUACACAAUGGGCGAAAGCCUGAUGCAGCGACGCCGCGUGAGGGAUGACGGCCUUCGGGUUGUAAACCUCUUUCAGCAGGGAAGAAGCGAAAGUGACGGUACCUGCAGAAGAAGCGCCGGCUAACUACGUGCCAGCAGCCGCGGUAAUACGUAGGGCGCAAGCGUUGUCCGGAAUUAUUGGGCGUAAAGAGCUCGUAGGCGGCCUGUCACGUCGGAUGUGAAAGCCCGGGGCUUAACCCCGGGUCUGCAUUCGAUACGGGCAGGCUAGAGUUCGGUAGGGGAGAUCGGAAUUCCUGGUGUAGCGGUGAAAUGCGCAGAUAUCAGGAGGAACACCGGUGGCGAAGGCGGAUCUCUGGGCCGAUACUGACGCUGAGGAGCGAAAGCGUGGGGAGCGAACAGGAUUAGAUACCCUGGUAGUCCACGCCGUAAACGUUGGGAACUAGGUGUGGGCGACAUUCCACGUCGUCCGUGCCGCAGCUAACGCAUUAAGUUCCCCGCCUGGGGAGUACGG
rnacentral:rRNA from 1 species